AGUAUGGCUAAAAUAACAUGCAAACAUUUAUUAUUGUUAUUGAGACCAAAUCAAUUAAAUUGUUCUAACUGAAAAUAACUUCUAAGUAUGGGUCACCAUACUUGGCUGUAUGUCACUUCACUUUCUUUCACUUUAUUUCUCUACACUGAUUUACAGUUUUUCAGCGCUCUCCUCAUCGCGCCGCAGUUCAGCGACAUGACAAAGAAAGAUGAUCCUGAUUGGUCCUCUUUUGUUUAAAAAAAAAAAAAAGUCCCAAAAUGUACACAACUUUAAAAAUAUCACAAAAUGUAAACAAGUUGUCCCAAACUAUGAAUAUGAGAAUAAGAAAAAUGUCAGAUAGUACUUUAUAAUGCCACAUUUCAAAGAGCGCAAAAUCGUAACGUUAAUAAGUUCCUGUCAGGCACUUGUGAGACCUAAACAGCCAUCCAUCUUGAGGGCAUCAACGCCCACUACAGUACGAUUGACAUUUCGCAACAAUAUUGCUGCAUCAGAGUAAACACAUAAAAAUCGUAGGAUUGCACGAGGACUGGAAGGAUGUCGAACAAAGACGAAGGGUGACUGCAACUUUUAUUACAUAAUAGAGUUCCUCUGCUAAAUUGCUAUAUUUUCGUUGGACAUUUAAGGAAAAUUACUGGAAUCGACAGUGACGGUGUUUGCUAUCCACCAUUAGCAAAAUUAAUGAUCAACCAAUUGAGUAGCAAUAUUCAGUCAUUUAUUUAUAUACCAUUUUACUGUGAUGUCUGAGUUAACGUAAUACUUUAUUUUAAAUUAAAGACGUUUUACUAGGACACUCGUAAGAUCAAUCAAUUGCAGAAACUGAUGAUGCUCGUUGACACUAUCAUGUAAAAAUUAUCACGGUGAUGAUAACUUUGAAAACUGAUGUCAUGGUUAUGUUUUGAGCACUGUAUAGGCCUAAAGCAGAAACAUAUUUUAAUCGCAAGUUUUCAUCAUACUGACACUUUGGAUUUUCUCCCAGAGUGCGCUCAUUCAGGGUGUUUGGGGUGAGUAAUUUUAGUUUUUUUUUUAUUUUACUAUCCAUCCAUAAAAAUGCAGUUCAAUAACUAUGUCCAACAACUAUGUUUUUAACUGUAUUAAUGGACUUUUUUUCCUCUAUAGAACAAAACCAAACUUGUAUCAAUUGAGGAAAUUGUGCAGUCAGUUGAAUUCCUGACAAAAAAUGUCAUCAAAUUUGAUGAUAAUGUGACACGAAAAGACGGCUUUUGGGGACAGGUGUGCAGUGCACAUACCAUUCCUAACACCAAAAACAAUCGCUAUAGACUUCUUAGAGCAUUUCGUAAGCACCAGCCAGAUUCGUCCCCAUAUACAGUGCCAUCCGAGGACAGUGGAAGUGCCGCUGGAGAUGAAAGACGCAAGUCUUCUGAACCACAGCAGCCAGAUUCGUCCCCAUAUACAGUGCCAUCCGAGGAAAGUGGAAGUGCUGCUGGAGAGGAAAGAUGUGAGUCUCCAGUCCAAGGCUUCAUGAUUAGUGAAUCAGAUGAAGACGGGUUUGUCAAAAUCUGUGUGCCUAAGAACCCCUCCUUCUUUUUCAUUGACAAGAGUGAGUGGGAUAACCUGAUAAAGAAGAGGAAAAAAACAGGCUUUGCAGGACUUCAAUGGACCACAGUAAUUUCCAAAGGGCUGAGGACAAUACACCCAUACUGUUCAUUUGCUUUUAAAAGACACAGACUGAAAGGAUUGGGUUUGAAACAAACCAGCCCAGAAUUUUCAUGUCUUGCCUACUGCCGAUUUGAAGAUUGUCCAGUCACUGUUACAGUGACUGUGGAUAGUGACAAGGACCUUAAAGCAACAGUUGAAUUUCAGGGUGAACAGUGCAUACAUAAUCGCACUGAACUUAAAAGAAGACCUGUAAGAGCAAAUGACAGAAAAACAUUAGGGAAGGAAUUACAAAAACAGCUCCCACGAGCAAUGUUUCUAGAGAACAUAGCCAAAAUACCUGAGGAUGUAAUGGAGUCCGGCUGUAGAGAUGUUGCUCCGAGUCGCAAUGUCUUGAAAAACAUUUCAUGGGAAGCCCGUAAGUCAAGCCGCCAACACAGCAAUGAAAUAAUCAGCCUUCAAAUAAUGCUACAAAAGAGAACAAAGAGUCCAGAUGAGGUACUCCAGAAAGUGAUGCUACACCCAAAAGGGGUCCUGCUGUGGUCAAAAAGGAGUAUACACAUUUAUCAGGAACGAUGCCAGGAGGACAUUAUUUAUCUAGAUGCGACUGGAAGCAUAAUGAGGAGAGAGACAGGAUCACCUCCAUUCUAUGUAUAUGAGUUGGUGGUCAGAAAUCCACACAAAACCUCAUCUCCAUUUCCUGUUGCCACGUACCUUACUUGCGACCACACCACAGCCUCAGUUUUGUAUUUUCUUGAGGCAUUUCUAACCGACGUGGCAAGGUGGUUUGGAAGGAAGGGCAUGCGGUCACCUGUCAUGGUCAUUUGUGAUGGGUCAAUUGUGUUAAUGCAGGCUAUAUGCAUGGCAUUUGCCAAAAAAAACCUGACACAAUAAACCACUAUUACAACAUUGCAAGUGGAAAAGGGAAACCGGAAGACUUUGAUGUGCCAAUUCUGCAUAGAUGCCUCAGCCAUGUGAUGAAGAAUGCAAAGGAAAUGUGCAGAAAGUAUGCAACAAACCACUACCACCUGGCAAUGCAUGUCUUUGGUGCCCUCACAACUGCAAGCACUUUAAAAGAACUGGAUGACAUGGUUCAAAGUGCUACAGUUGUCUUCUCCAGUCCAUGCUGUGGUGCAAGUGUUGAGAAGCACUUCAAGAACCUGCAAUCGUGGCUGCAGAAAAAAGGGACUCCAUUGGAUGAGACUACCAAGUCUAGAGGUGAUGCAGAGGACUUGAAGGAUAUUACAGGAAGCAACAGAUUUGCAAAACGUUGCAAUGCAAUUAUUUCUAAUGCCCCACUGGACAAGCAUGGAGAGGUCAAUGUGUACCAAUGCAAAGGGCUUAUUGAUCACCUCAAGAAA